rnacentral:rRNA from 1 species
AUUGAACGCUGGCGGCAGGCCUAACACAUGCAAGUCGAGCGGAGCGGCGGACGGGUGCGUAAUGCCUAUGUAUCUGCCUGGUAGUGGGGGAUGACGUCCGGUAACGGGCGCUAAUACCGCAUCCUAUCAGAUGAGCCUAGGUGGGAUUAGCUAGAGGGUGGGGUAAAGGCCUACCAAGGCGACGAUCCGUAACUGGUCUGAGAGGAUGAUCAGUCACACUGGAACUGAGACACGGUCCAGACUCCUACGGGAGGCAGCAGUGGGGAAUAUUGGACAAUGGGCGAAAGCCUGAUCCAGCCAUGCCGCGUGUGUGAAGAAGGUCUUCGGAUUGUAAAGCACUUUAAGUUGGGAGGCGUUACCAGCAGAAUAAGCACCGGCUAACUUCGUGCCAGCAGCCGCGGUAAUAC